ACCGGGAGAACGGGGAGGGGGAGGAGGGAGGGCGGGGGUAGCGAAGGAGGGGAGGGGGGGGGGUGGUGAACUCACCGCCCGCCCUCAACACUCACACAUCCCGCAGCCGACCGGACCACACCAGGCCACGCUGCACAGGACCGGGAGCUGUCAGGCAACAGCCCGACACCCACACAGUCAGGGUGGAAGCGUGAGGCAGGGGGCGGGCAGAGAUCAACUCGUUACCGAGACGGAGAAGCCGGCCACUAGCGGCACCCACAUACAGCCAGCCACUCGAGGCCGUUUCCACUCUCAACCUAGGCACUGUCGUAAAGUGAAGCUGCCGCGCGGCCCCGCCGCCCCCCGCGUACGUCAUAACCGUCGUAAAUGCGGCUUCCCGUCUCUCCUUGAAGCUGUUGUUUUACGACGGUGACCUUUGACCGACGCCGAGAGAGGUCCGGAAACAGCGUUUGAUAUCUACAAGCGGAGGAGAUGCCGACAUAAACAAACUAGAUGCCUUAUGGUUACAGAAAGGCAUUUCAAAGCACUUUACAAAGUGACAAGAAGAACAAAUAACCGAACAAUUGGGCGUGACAUCAGAAACAAAAGCACCGUUGAAGAGAGUUUUGAGAAGUUUUACACACCAGGGAGGUUUUUAACCACCUUUGAUGGAAUGGUCCAGAAGAUGUGACAGAAACUGAAAAGAGAUGCAACAUACCUAUAAACCCCAUUUAUUUCAAGAAUCUCAAAUAUUGUAACAUUGCCGGAUGCAAACCAUG